GCUCCCUGGGAAGCACUGAUCUUGGAUUUGGCUGCUGUGUGGGAGACCAGUGUUCCUCUUAGCUGAUGGUGGAGACUCACGUCAGUGCAGGCUGCAGCGAUGACUCUCAAACUGUGAACAAUGCUCCCCAGUGUGUGCACGGGAGGGCCAGCAUAUGGAGACCUCGCGGAGAGCCAAACGCGGGCUCUCUGCACUUCCUUCAGUUUUGUUUAAAUACAGGAUCCGGUUUGCCUUUGUCACCCGGAGGCCAAGGCGGGAAAAGAGGAAAGAACAAGGCUGACCAUCAAGGCUGGACAUCCCUUUCAGUUCUUUUGAGAACAGACUAGUUGGCUAGAUGUGAAGAAAACAAGCUUUGGAGUAAUCUUCCCUCUGCACAGCCUGUGAUAUUGGGAUCCAGUGAGUGACGGUGAGAGGUGGAGAUGUAUGAACGAGACCUGAGACGUUGGACCUGAACAUCACAGCAAUCACUUGCAGGGCUAAGAUUCAGGGCCAGCUGUCCAUGGAUUCUCCCGAGUUGGAUCGUCUUUCACACACCUGCUUCCUGAGGUUACAUCUCUUUUCCAGCCUAGGAGCAACCAAUAAAGAGCAGAGAGCAAAGAAAAGCAGACACACAAAUCAUCUCUAGACUAUGUCAAGGGUAUCCCCAAAAU
rnacentral:lncRNA from 1 species